UGGGGAAUAUUGGACAAUGGGCGCAAGCCUGAUCCAGCCAUGCCGCGUGAGUGAUGAAGGCCCUAGGGUUGUAAAGCUCUUUCACCGGUGAAGAUAAUGACGGUAACCGGAGAAGAAGCCCCGGCUAACUUCGUGCCAGCAGCCGCGGUAAUACGAAGGGGGCUAGCGUUGUUCGGAUUUACUGGGCGUAAAGCGCACUUAGGCGGACUUUUAAGUCAGGGGUGAAAUCCCGGGGCUCAACCCCGGAACUGCCUUUGAUACUGGAAGUCUUGAGUAUGGUAGAGGUGAGUGGAAUUCCGAGUGUAGAGGUGAAAUUCGUAGAUAUUCGGAGGAACACCAGUGGCGAAGGCGGCUCACUGGACCAUUACUGACGCUGAGGUGCGAAAGCGGGGGGAGCAAACAGG
rnacentral:rRNA from 1 species